AUGCAGUCGAGCGGACAGAUGGGAGCUUGCUCCCUGAUGUUAGCGGCGGACGGGUGAGUAACACGUGGGUAACCUGCCUGUAAGACUGGGAUAACUCCGGGAAACCGGGGCUAAUACCGGAUGGUUGUUUGAACCGCGUUCAGACAUAAAAGGUGGCUUCGGCUACCACUUACAGAUGGACCCGCGGCGCAUUAGCUAGUUGGUGAGGUGGCUCACCAAGGCGACGAUGCGUAGCCGACCUGAGGGUGAUCGGCCACACUGGGACUGAGACACGGCCCAGACUCCUACGGGAGGCAGCAGGAAUCUUCCGCAAUGGAAAAGUCUGACGGAGCAACGCCGCGUGAGAUGAAGGUUUUAUCGUAAAGCUCUGUUGUUAGGGAAGAACAAGUGCCGUUCAAAUAGGGCGGCACCUUGACGGUACCUAACCAGAAAGCCACGGCUAACUACGUGCCAGCAGCCGCGGUAAUACGUAGGUGGCAAGCGUUGUCCGGAUAUUGGGCAAAGGGCUCGCAGGCGGUUUCUUAAGUCUGAUGUGAAAGCCCCCGGCUCAACCGGGGAGGGUCAUUGGAAACGGGAACUUGAGUGCAGAAGAGGAGAGUGGAAUUCCACGUGUAGCGGUGAAAUGCGUAGAGAUGUGGAGGAACACCAGGGCGAAGGCGACUCUGGUCUGUAACUGACGCUGAGGAGCGAAAGCGUGGGGAGCGAACAGGAUUAGAUACCCUGGUAGUCCACGCCGUAAAUGAGUGUAAGUGUUAGGGGGUUUCCGCCCCUUAGUGCUGCAGCUAACGCAUUAAGCACUCCGCCUGGGGAGUACGGUCGCACUGAAACUCAAAGGAAUUGACGGGGGCCCGCACAAGCGGUGGAGCAUGGUGGUUUAAUUCGAAGCACGAAGACCUUACCAGGUCUUGACAUCC
rnacentral:rRNA from 1 species